rnacentral:rRNA from 1 species
GCAGCACCCUACAUUUCGACCUCGGAUCAGGUAGGGAUACCCGCCUGAACUUAAGCAUAUC